ensembl:snRNA U6 U6 spliceosomal RNA
UUACUUGGGCAGCACAUAUCCUAAAAAUUGGAAGGAUACAGAGCAGAUUAGCAUGGUACCUGCCCAAAGCUACCUCUUUUUUCACCUUUGCAUUUCAUU